rnacentral:lncRNA from 1 species
UCAUACUCGUUCUUCCGCUCGUACCCAGACUCAUAUUCGGAACUGGGCUCCUCAUAUUCAGUCUUCCGUCCAUACCCACCGGAUCCAUAUUCCGAAGUAGGUUGUUCAUACUCCGGCUUGCGUCCAUAUUCAGAUCCAGAUCCACCAAAUUCGCUCUCACCAGCGCCAUAACCGCCACCACUUGGGCGGUUCACGGGCUUGGGCGGGCAUAGCUCUUGUAU